AACACAGCCUCUGUAAAACUGCUGGUACCUAAAGGAACUGUCAGAAAGGGACUGCAGAGUAAGGAGGGGUAGUUGACAGUACUAGUCCCUGAGCUUCCAGACCCUGAAGUUGAUGGACCCAGGAAUGAGUCUCACUGUAAAAGAGGUCCUUUAUAAAGAAAACGAUGACGAGGUUAAAGGAGAAAGUAAGUUACAUGACAGUUUCCAAAAUGGUUCUUGCUUCCCGCUGAAGAUGGGCCGCCGUUGGGUUGUAAUACACUCACGGUCCCAGCUUGUGCUUUACAAGAAGAGGGAAUAUAACUAGACUGGUUAUUUUAGGUUAAAAUAGCCAAGAGACAGACGCUUUCGCCUCAAAAAUAUUCUGAGACACAUAAAAGUAGAAGGAACCAAGUCUCUUCAGUCACAAAAUGUCGUACAUCCAGCAUAUACUAGAUUCAAUUAAUUUAAUAAAAUAGAAUAUACAUAGAGAUUCUGCACAAACGUAUUGCUUUCUCCCAACAGCUCCUGGUGUCGGGAGCCUUGGCCACACUGGGCUUUCUCCUUUUCCUUCUUCCCGGAGGCAGGGGCUCCAGGGCUGUGUUCUCUUCAGAUCGACUCUCCGGAAGUUCUGCUCGUCAUCCCCACCAGCCACUGAAGAAGGCAGGUGAGGUGCCUCGUGGCUGCUUGCUGCUUGCGUGGGACUUUUCAGAAACGCUGCCCAGGAGGCGGAGCUAGGAUCUGCACCCGGUGGAGAAAGGUCCCGUGGGGACAGGGGUUCUUCCUGGCUGCUGGGAAGGAGGUCUCCUGAAAUCCAGCUCAGCUCCGUGUCCAGCUCUAAGCUGCUUCUGGUCUCUGGAGGGUCCUUGGCCCAGCUGGGUUCCAGGCCUGGGCAAGGGGCUGGCAGGCGGAUGUGCUUGGAGACUUUGCUCUGGAUGCCGGAACGCUGCUGCACCUGGAUGCUCGACCCGCCCCAGAAGGAUGAGGACCGGGUCAGAGGGCAGGAGGGCCCACUCACCUCUGACAACAGGUCUUCCCGGCUACCCAGGCCCUGCACAUCCAGGGAGUCAGUCCUUAUUGCUGCCUGUAGGGAGUGGAAGCAGGGCUCAGCCCAGGGAUUUCCUUUCAACGUGGAUUCUCUUUUAUCCUUUCUGUCAUGUUGGCUGUGCCUAAUCCCCACACAGCUGCAGGACCACCCUAUUAGCUUCUCUUAUUGAGAGAAGGGGGGUAUAAGCCCUCUGAGCUCUGAGGACCACCCUUCAACCACCACAUUUUUCUUCUAUCCUCCUGCUCCAUUUCCCUAAAUCUGCAGGAGGAACUCUGUGCAGUCUUUGGGCCCUGGGACACCAGAAAGAACUCAUACAUACAAGCUCUGUUUCCCAAACUGGCCCCUUUGUGCCUCUAGCCUUUAGGGAGAGAGAGCAAGGCAGCAAGCAAGUCCCUUGGCUUUGAAUACCCUUCCUGACGACAAGUAUCCCUGGUUAUGCUGAACAUGGGUUUUCUGUGAUGAGCACAUGGCAGUCCACUUCAAGGAAACCAACCCUUGUCUCCUCUGCGCUCACACAGCUCACAUAAGCACCACGCAGCUAUAACCUGGGGCUGCAGUGAUCUGGUGGCAUGUGUGUCCACUGAGCUCAGAGAGCAGGGACUGUGUCCCAGUGCCUAGCAGCAGGAAGUGGCUGAAGGAAGAGGGAUCUUGCCUGCUCCACAAGAACAUGAUGCUGACAGAUAUUCCUAUAUCUGUGAUCAGGAGACCCAGACAUCAACGCAAGGCACACAAGCCUCACUUGGCUCCAUUAGUCUCUCUCUGGUUCAUGGACAGUGGACCCCAGGAUUGCCCGGAAAUAAAGACACUUAGAUCCUG